rnacentral:rRNA from 1 species
UACGUAGGGGGCGAGCGUUGUCCGGAUUUAUUGGGCGUAAAGAGCUCGUAGGCGGUUCGAUAAGUCGGAUGUGAAAUCUCCACGCUCAACGUGGAGGGGCCAUUCGAUACUGUCGUGACUCGAGUCCGGUAGGGGAGUGUGGAAUUCCCGGUGUAGCGGUGAAAUGCGCAGAGAUCGGGAGGAACACCCGUAGCGAAGGCGGCACGUCUGGGCCGGUACUGGACGCUGAGGAGCGAAAGCGAUGGGGAGCAAACAGGGGAUUAAGAAACCCGUU